AGUAACGAAUUGCAUAUAAAUCACUUUUAACACAUAUUUCUUCUUUUAAUUAAAAAAAAAAUUUACGAACUUCACAACGCGCUUAAAGAAAAUGUCAAGUAAAGCCUUCAACCUAUUUUUGGAUGGAAAAAAGUCUGCCAUAAUAGUAAGGCAUUUAAUCAGUCGUAAUGAUGAAAAAAAGUAAUGAUACAGCCAAUGAAGAACAAAGAAACUUUCGUUCAGAAGAUAUAAACAAAAAAGGCAUUGAUUAACUUAAAAGUCUCCGAUGUUGCGGUGGGUCGACAUGUUGCGUGCGCAUUUUCUAGAUCGAUGUCUCCGGUCUCCGCAGAUAGUGACGUCAUACAAUACAGUUUUGAUGUUUAUUAGUUUUUAGUCGAUUUUCGUUCUUUUUUGGUACUAUUUACAUACAUUGUGCUACAAUUAUGAAACGGAAAUUAGAUCAUAAAAGGAAAGUUCAUGGUGACAAUUCGAAAAUCAGCAACUGUUCGCGGUGUGUUGUUGUAUAGCAGAAGCAGAAGGUCGAUGAAGGUGGUGGAUGUAAACAGUGUGAACAUGGCCAAAUCGCUUUGCUUCGGAAAAAGAUUUGGGGAAAGAAUACGAACCAAAAUGGUGUUCCAAAUCCGUCCGUUGACGUAACGAUCAGUGGUUUACGUAUAAUGCUUUCGAGAUUUUGAAAAUAUAUCGGUUGAAUUAUAUUAAUAAACUGGAAUACAAAAUUAUAAGGCUUAAAACAGUGUUGAUGUCAAAUGAUUUUGCAUUGAAUUUUCGAAAGUUUGUUGUUUUUUUUGUCAAAAAGUAGACUUUGAAUGAAAGAUUGAUCAUAUUCAAAGAAUUUAAAGUGCUGUCCCAGGAGUGUUGGUCUUUGGCCCUGGCUACAAUCAUCAUCCUCAUGCUGGGUGUUUUCAGAAGACAUUGGAAACCUAAAAGGACAAGCAACAGCCGAAAAACUAAAGAUAAGAGCAAAGAUACAUCUGAUGACAAAUCCGUCGGUGUUUUGGGAGCUAUUGUUGUUACGGGCCACUUAUUAAAAGUGGCAGAUGAUGACGAUAAUGACAAAACACAAAAGGAAUUGGACGCAGAGAAAGAAAAGUCCGAUCCUGUGAAGGAACCGGCCGAACGACCACCCACUGAUGGCGAACAGGAGAACGCGCAG
rnacentral:lncRNA from 1 species